AGCCCCUAUCCCAGGAGGGAGUCGCUGCAGCUGGGCUAGGUCAGGCCUGCGAAGCCCCCAGAUGAGGAACCUGCACCUUUCCACUGGGCAUUACCCCGGGCCUGGGACAAAAGCCCAGAAAAAGUCUGAGCAGAACCUUUCUCCAGGGUGCCUUCAACUCUCUCUUUGGGAAAGCCCCACAGGGUGCGGACAGCCCAGCCCCAUUCUCCGUGCUCAAGGGCCCUUGCUCACCAUCACCAGUGCCAACAGGAAACAAGUCUCCGUUACUGUGAGAACAUCAUGGAAGAAAAGGAAAGUGGCCUUGGCCAAGCCGGACACCCUUCUAAGCCUUUCACCUUCUCACUCAGGCUGCACGGAGAGACUCAUCUAGAUGAAUGAAUCUCAGCAGCAUUCACCUCAGGGUGAAGGCACUCGGGGAUCAUGUUUCCCAAGGUUUCUGUCUUCUGGGGCCCUAAAUUGUCCAGGAUUGUGUGCAGACAGUUGCCCAGACAACCAUCUGGUAUAAGAAAACACCCAAAGCAGAUGCAGAGGGCGACUUUUUAGCAGUGCGCGGCCGCCAUCCCUGCUGGCCGGGCUGUGAUAGCCUGAGCGUCCCCGCACCGCCCCGCGGGGCGCGGGAGGCGCCGAGUGGGCCCGACCAGGGGCGCACCGGGCUCGUCUCCUCAUCCCCUGCCAAGGUCACUUCCGCCGGGGUGGCGCUGCGCUCGCGCCCCGACCCGCCGCCCACC